GUAUUUCCUUUGAUGUGUGGAUGGUGGCUGGAUGUUUGUACUAUAAGGAUGUUUGGGAAGUCCAUGGCUCAAAGAGUUCAAUUCUUCUCAGUUUCUCCUUUAGCAAGCUCAUUGGUUCAUUGGGUUGUAGGAAUUGUGUACAUGCUGCAAAUAAGCAUUUUUGUCAGUCUUCUUCGAGGGGUUUUACGUCAGGGAGUUCUGUAUUUUCUUCGAGAUCCAGCUGAUCCAAACUAUAACCCAUUCCGUGAUUUAAUUGAUGAUCCUGUGCACAAGCAUGCCCGCAGGGUUUUGUUGUCUGUUGCUGUUUAUGGGAGUUUAAUUGUGAUGCUGGUAUUUUUACCUGUCAAACUUGCAAUGCAGAUGGCACCC
rnacentral:misc_RNA from 1 species